CAUCUAUUUGCUGUGGGCAGAUAAAAUGAAUGUGAGAAUCAACGCCACCAGCUGUAAUAAUCGACCCCUCAGCUGCGAUAAUCUCAGUACCUGGACCAAUAAUAAUAUCAACGCCAGACUGUACGUCUGGAUUACCGGCUUUACCUAUCGCGAUAAUACGCCCAUUUUUAACGCCAAUAUCCGCCUUAACGAUACCCCAAUGAUCGAGAAUAACGGCAUUCGUUAUCACUAAAUCUGGCGUAUAUUUCGAAGAAAGCUGACUCUGCCCCUGCCCAUCACGAAUG
rnacentral:sRNA from 1 species